UGAGAGGCAGGAGGUGCUUGGGCUGAGCUUGGGGCUGGGUGCCAGUGCCAGGCACCCUGGGUCUGGGCAGCACCCUCUUCCUGGCUUUCUGAUCUGGUGACGACCCCAGUGCUGUUAUCUUUUUUUUUUUUUUUUUUUUGAGAUAGCGUCUCACUCUAUAGCCCAGGCUGGAGUGCAAUGGCAAGAUCUCAGCUCAUUGCAACCUCCACCUCCCAGCUCAACCGAUCCUCCCUACCUCAGUCUCCUGAGUAGCUGGGACUACAGUUGUGUGUGAUUGUGCCCAGCUAAUUUUCGUAUUUUUUUGUAGAGACAGAGUUUUGCCAUAUUGCCCAGGCUGGUUUCGAACUCCUGGACUCAAGUGAUCCACCCGCCUCUGCCUCCCAAAGUGCUGGGAUUACAUACAGGUGUGAGCCACUGCACCCAGCCAGGCAGCUUUUUAUUAGACUUUCACUAGGUCCUUGUAGGUGGAACCUUAGUGGUCACAGUGGGCCAGGAGGGUUUGGCUAGUUUUGGCCUUUGUAGCCAUCUUUGAAUUACACUAUUAGUAGAUCAGUCUGGUCUCUAAAAGGAAAAAGACCACAGUCAUUAUUGGAGUUUGACUAUUCCGUUUAAAAUGUAGCUUUUAAGUGAGGUACAUCAUAAAGGAUCUACUGGCUGGGCACGGUGGCUCACGCCUGUAAGCCCAGCACUUUGGGAGGCCGAGACGGGCAGAUCACUUGAGGCCAGGAGUUUGAGACCAGCCUGGGCAACAUGGUGAAACCCCAUCUCUACUAAAAAUACAAAAAUUAGCUGGGCAUGGUGGUACGUGCCUGUAAUCCCAGCUACUCAGGAGGCUGAGGCAGGACAAUCACUUGAACCCGGGAGGCGGAGGUUUCAGUGAGCCAAGAUCACUCCAUUGCAUUCCAGCCUGAGUGACAGAGCAAGACUCUGUUUAAAAAAGACAACGAAAACCGAAAAACAAAGAACAGGUGGAGUCUACUGACUUGCAUGAGUCAGGUAAUUCAUUGACCGGGGCUGGUCAAAAAGAUGGGUUGAUCCUUACUGUGGAAGCUCUCAGCUGCCCUGCAAUACUUUGGAAAUAAACCAGGCAAAACACUGCUCAGUGUGCUGCACUCCAGACACAAACAGGAAGCUGCUCUUUCUCUGCUUCCCUCCCCCACAAUCAGACUCUUGUAACUCUCUUUUCUUCUUUUUCUAAAAUGAAUCUGGGAGUUUCCUUUAGCCCCUGUUUUGUGGUCGCCUCCCAUACACGUUUUAUCUGUCCGUGGCAUUUUCUUUUAUUUAUUGAAAGCACCGUGUCUUAGAUCAAGUCUUGAGAAACAGAACCUGAGACAAACAUGAAUGUGGUUAAUUGAACGAGCGCUGUGCAGGAAAAGCUGUACUGGAGAGAGGUAAGCGGACAGAUACGGGGAAGAGCUGGGCCCAGCAAAGAUGAGGUCUCAAGUAAAGCUUAUGUUUGGCUUAAUCCACCGGGGACGGUUCUGGAACAUAAGCCACACCGCAGAGCUGUGAUGUCACACCUUGAGGCGAGGGCCUUGCCUCCUGGUAUCAGUCAGUCCUGGCUGUGGGGAGCAAGGUGGCUCCACUCAGUGCAAGGCCAUCCUGGGCAAGGGGCAGCCCCCCUCACCGCAGUGGCCUGGCAGUGGGGCCCUGGGUCCGGCACAGCUCCUCCUUCGCACAGUGCUGUCUGCUCGCCCGGUGUCUUUCAUGCCGUUUCCCACCAACUUCCCUCCUCUGCCUCCUGCUCUGCAUUGCACAGUGCAGCGAGGUUGCCAAUUCCAUAGUUGUAGCGGCUGUGGGGGAAGGGGCAGGCGGGACAGGGGAGGCAGCCAUCUAACUUUUGUCCUGACUCACGCAGGCCUGGCCUGGUGUUCAGAACACAAAUGUGAAAAAUCAGACCGGGAAGAUCACGGGAGGCAGGAAGCAUCUGGUUUGCAGGAGUCUCACUCUGUCACCCAGGCUGGAGUGCAGUGGCGUGAUCUCAGCUGACUGCAAUCUCCACCCAAGUUCAAGAGAUUCUUCUGCCUCAGCCUCCCACGUAGCUGGGACUACAGAGCAUACCAUAGCAGCUUGUGCCUGAGACCUCGACAAAUAUCUGGGGGAUAGAUUGGCUUGCAGAGCACAUUCUGCCUAUAGAAAUGAGUUAGCAAGUUUAGUCAGCCAUUGUAGAUUUCAAAGGGUGAGAAGCCUAGCCAGAGGUUAUAAUAUAGCAUGAUAUCCUCCUGGAAAUGGAAUUCUUCACUUGCGAUGCAUUUUAGGAGCCGCUGCUCUGUGUGAGCCACUCUGCUAGGUCCCAGCAUGCAUGAUAUUAUUCUACACAAAGAAUAAUAUCAGAGCUCACAGCCUAUGCAGGAAGUAAGCAAUUAGUUACAGCGUGAUGUGUACUGCAACCCAGGUAAGUACACAGUGUCAUGGAUGCUUCCAGGAGGAAGUCAUAGUCUGACCAGGAAGUUUGGGAAUACUUCUCAUAGGAAGCAACAAGCUACCUGGAAAGAUCUAGAAAGAUGAACAGUACCAGUGUAUUGAUUAGAAAUGCGUUCAGCAGCAAGUCAUAGAACACAUGACUAGUAAGGUUUAAACAAAUAGAAGGUUAUUUUCUCAUAUAAUAAGCCCAGAGGUAGGCACUAAAGGUGGUACAUUGGCUCAGUGGUGUUGGGACUAAGGUUUCUAAAAUUCUCUUGUCCUCUAAGACAUGGCUGCAGGUUGGCUGCAGCAGCUCCAGGCAUCGUGUCCACACUGAAAGGAGAAAGGGGGAGGCCAGCUAUGAUUUCCCCUUUUAUCAGGAAAGCAGAAACCUUCCUGUGGAUUUCUGCUUAUAUCCCACUAGCCAGAACUGGGUCAUGUGGCUAUCCUUAGCAGCAAGGGAGCCAGGAAAGAGAGGAUUUCACUUCUCCAGCUUCUUCUGUAUAUGGGAGGGCAGGUAGGUGAAGGGGGCUAGACUGAAUCCUGUGUGAGCCAACUAGCAGGCAGAACAUUUUGCAUAGAACUGCAUUUGCAAAAACAUGGAGCUGUGAAAGUGUGUGGAACAUUUACAGGCUAUUUAUUUAUUUAUUUAUUUAGAGACAGAUUCUUGCUUUGUCGCCCAGGCUAGAGUGCAGUGACACGAUCUUGGCUCACUGCAACCUCUGCUUCCUGGGUUCAAGCAAUUCUCCUGCCUCAGCAUCCCCAGUAGCUGGGAUUACAGGUGCCUGCCACCAUGCCUGGCUAAUUUUUGUAUUUUUAGUAGAGACGGGGUUUCACCAUGUUGGCCAGGCUGAUCUUGAACUCCUGACCUCAAGUGAUCCACCCGCCUCAGCCUCCCAAAGUGCUGGGAUUACAGGCGUGAGCCACCGCCCCCAGCCUACAAUCAAAAAAUUUAAUAUCAUCAAAUUACAGGGCAUGUGGCAGAGAAGUGUGGGCAGACAAGACACAGAGAAGUGGAGAUGAGACUCUUCAGACCCUUGAAUGACAUGUUGAAGAGCUUGGAAUUUUCUUAUAGAACGUAGGUAAUCAAUAGAGAGGUUUCAUCCGAGGAAUGAUAAAAAUCCAUUUGGGAAACAGAGGCGGUGUGGAGGAUGGGUCAAGAGAGAAUCAGAAGGCAGAUGAUUUACAGCAAUCCAGGCCAGAUAUCAGGAGGGCCUACUCUAAGAUUGCUUUUAGCAUAGCUACUGGGGAAGAGUCGGGCAGGAGAGCCCAGAGGCCCCGCAUGUGAUGGAAACAGCUGCCCAAACUGCAUCUUCAGGUAAAUAUGGCAGACCAUAGUUCCCCCUUCAUAAAGGCCUCUUGGGCGUGUUUCCUGGAAGGAAGAGGUGGGAGAUGUCGCCAUGCUCAGCACAUACGUGAGGUGUUGCAUUAGUCUCCUGGGGCUGCCGUAACAAAGUACCACAAAGCAGAUGGAAACAACAUGCAUUUUUCCCCCCACAGUUCUGGAAGGUGGAAGGCCAGGAUCAGGUGUCAGGAGGGUUGGUUUUUUCUGGGGGUUCUGAGAGAAUCUGAGGGGAAUUCCAUGGCUUUCUCCCAGCUUCUGGUAGUUGCUGGCAAUCCCUGGUGUUCCUGGGCCUGUAGACACGUCACCCCCAUCUCCGCCUCUGUUUUCAUGUGGCAUCCUCCCCGGUGCGUGUCUGUGUGCCCCAACCCCCUUGUCUUAUGAGGCCCACUCUAAUCCAACAGGACCUCGUCUUUACAUAAUCAGAUCUGCUAAGAUCCUGUUUCCAAAUAAGGCCAUGUUCACAGAUACCUAGGGUUAGGACUUGGACAUAUCUUUUGGGGGGACCCGAUUCAACUCACAACAGGUGUUUGAGGGCAGCUCUAGUUGAGAGUGUCAGAGAACCUCUGGCUUAAAGGAGGAACAGGGAGUCUAUCUGCUUGCAAUGUCUGAAGUAGAGUGGAGUGGCUUUACUGUCCUUGGUAGAGAGCAUGUCCUGCUUCAUUCUCAGGAAGGAUCUCACUGUGAGGUGGCUACGAUUACUCUCUGCCCACCCUGGUUGCAUCUGGCUUACAGAAGACAAUCCCAGAAGAAACAGUCUCCCCCAAAGUCCGCAGCAACCCUUCCACUAGGAGUCUACUCCUGCUUACACAAGGCCCAUGCUCACGCCUCACCCCACUGCUGUGUCCAGGGCUUCGUGGUAUCCUGAUGGGCUAGCGUGGGUCACACUCCCACCCUUUGAGCCAUGGGCCCACCUAGUCCAAAUCAUAACAACUGAACAGGAUGAUCACAGGUUGUGGAGAUGAAUCUGCCAAAGUGAUGCUAGGCAGUGCGCUUUCUUUUUUAUUUUUAAAAUAUUUUUUGCAUGUAUGUAUGUAUGUGAGACAGUCUCGCUCUGUCGUCCAGGCUGGAGUGCAGUGGCAAGAUCUCGGCUCACUGCAACCUCUGCCUCCUGGGUUCAAGCAGUUCUCCUGCCUCAGUCCCCCGAGCUGUGAUUACAGGCAUGUGCCACCACACCCGGGUAAUUUUUGUAUUUUUGUUAGAGAUGAGAAUUCACCAUGUUGGCCAUGCUGGUCUCCUGACUUCAAGUGAUCCGCCUGCCUCAGCCUCCCAAAGUGCUGGGAUUACAGGCGUGAGCCACCAUGUGCAGCCAGUAGUGCUCUUUCUUUACCUCUGCCCAAAUGAGGACAAGGAGAUGAAGCGUGGCUGAAAGCAUCAGCCUCUUCCCAGCUGUCCUGAUUGCAUGGGCCGCUUGUCCACUGGACAGGUACUUUUCCUGCCGGGCCUGCUCGUGUGGUUUGGACAGAUGCCCAACUGUCAGGCUCACUCUGUUCUGUUCAGGGAGCUGGCAUUUGCUCCAGUUUCCUCACCUGCCCACAGGGCAGGUGUGUGUCUGUGCGCCCCAACCCCCUUGUCUUAUGAGGCCCACUCUAAUCCAAAAGGACCUCAUCUUUACAUAAUCAGAUCUGCUACGAUACUAUUUCCAAAUAAGGCCAUGUUCACAGAUAUAUGAAUGGUAAGAGCCAGUGGGCCAGGUUGCCCAUGUGAGGGAGCCGGUCUCCGCACCUUGAAUUUCUCUACUGUUCUGGCCUCCGGGGCCAUGACAUUGAGGAUGGCUGGCCACUGGGCAUUGCUCCUUGCACCAUUUUCUCUGGGACUCCCUGAUACAUGUGAGGUUCUUCUUUCUCAGGCCUCUUUGAGGUGCAGGGACCCCCCCGCCCCCAUUGCCUAGUACUCCAAACUGGCCUAGGUCUACCUCUCCCAGCCCAAAUGUCCUGAGGUCCGUGACUGGAUUAUGACUUCAUAAACACCCUUCCCCCACCCUCACCACCACCACUUCCAGCAUCUGAGCUGGAAGACUGCCCGUGUCCUUCCAAUCCACUUCCCUUCCCUGUUGUUCAUCCUCACAUUUCUCUAACCACAGGCCAGCAGAGCUAGAAAAAACCCUAGGACAACUAGUCCAGCAACGGCGAAACAUUCAUUUUAACCUUAGUUCACAUGGUGCAGCCGCUACAGAAAACGGUAUGCGAGUUCCUCAAAAAAUGAAACAUAUGAUCCAGCAGUUUCACUUCUGGGUUUCUGGGUAUAUUCCCAAAAAAACUGAAAGCAGAAACUUAAAUAGCUGUUUGUACACCCACGCUUAUAGCAGCAUUAGUCACAAUAGCCAAAAGGUAGAAGAAGCCCAAGUGUAUAUCAACAGAUGCAUGGAGAAACAAAUGUGUAUACAUACAAUGGGUUAUUAUUCAGCUAUAAAAAAGGAAUGAGGCCAGGAUCAGUGGCUCACACCUGUUAUCCCAGCAUUUUGGGAGGCCAAGGUGGGCGGAUAACCUGAGGUCAGGAGUUCAAUACCGGCCUGGCCAACUUGGUGAAACCCCCGUCUCUACAAAAAUGCAAAAAUUAGCCGGGCAUGAUGGCAGGUACCUGUAAUUCCAGCUACUUGGGAGGCUGAGGCAGAAGAAUUGCUUGAACCACGGAGGCGGAGGUUGCAGUGAGCUGAGAUCGCACCAUUGCACUCCAGCCUGGUUGACAGAGCGAGACUCUGUCUCAAAAAAAAAAAAAAAAGGAAUGAAAUUCAGAUACAUGCUACAACAUGGAUCAACCUUGAAGACAUCAUACUAAGUAAAAUAAGCCAGUCACAAAAGGAUAAGCAGUAUAUGAUUCCACUUAUAUGAGGUACCUAAAGUAGUCUAAUUCAAAGACAGAAAGUAUAAUAGUGAUUACCACGGGUUGGAGGGAAGGAGAAGGGGAGUUAUUGUUUAAUCAUAUAGAGUUUGGGAAGAUGAAAAAGUCCUGGAGAUGGACAGUGGUGAUGGUUGUACAAUAAUGUGGAUGUACUUAAUGCCACUGAACGGCACACUUAAAAUGGUUAACAUGGUAAAUUUUAUGUUAUGCAUAUUUUACAACAAUAAAC
rnacentral:lncRNA from 10 species